GACAGUGUGGUGUAAUAGUUUGAGCAUUAGACUACAACUCUGGAGACUAAGGUUCGAAUCCCCACUCAGCCA